rnacentral:misc_RNA from 1 species
GAUGAAGAACGUAGCGAAAUGCGAUAAGUAAUGUGAAUUGCAGAAUUCAGUGAAUCAUCGAAUCUUUGAACGCACCUUGCGCCCCUUGGUUAUUCCAAAGGGCAUGCCUGUUUUAGUAUCAUGAACACCUCAACUCUUGUGGUUUCCCACAAUGAGCUUGGACUGUGGAGGUUUUGUUGGCCCUGUGGUCAGCUCCUCUCAAAUGGAUCAGCUUACCGGUGUUUGGUGGCAUUACGGGUGUGAUAACUAUCUACGCUCGUGGUCGUCUCCAAAUAACCUCCAGUGAUGGAGGUUCGCUGGAGCUUAUAAAUGUCUCUCCCCAGUGAAGACAGCCUUUGAACGUUCGAUCUCAAAUCAGGUAGGACUACCCGCUGAACUUAAGCAUAUCAAUAAGCGGAGGA